rnacentral:rRNA from 1 species
UACGAAGGGACCUAGCGUAGUUCGGAAUUACUGGGCUUAAAGAGUUCGUAGGUGGUUGAAAAAGUUAGUGGUGAAAUCCCAGAGCUUAACUCUGGAACUGCCAUUAAAACUUUUCAGCUAGAGUAUGAUAGAGGAAAGCAGAAUUUCUAGUGUAGAGGUGAAAUUCGUAGAUAUUAGAAAGAAUACCAAUUGCGAAGGCAGCUUUCUGGAUCAUUACUGACACUGAGGAACGAAAGCAUGGGUAGCGAAGAGGAUUAGAUACCCUCGUAGUCCAUGCCGUAAACGAUGUGUGUUAGACGUUGGAAAUUUAUUUUCAGUGUCGCAGGGAAACCGAUAAACACACCGCCUGGGGAGUACGACCGCAAGGUUAAAACUCAAAUGAAUUGACGGGGACCCGCACAAGUAGUGGAGCACGUGGUUUAAUUCGAAGAUACGCGCAGAACCUUACCAACACUUGACAUGUUCGUCGCGACUCUAAGAGAUUAGAGUUUUCGGUUCGGCCGGACGAAACACAGGUGCUGCAUGGCUGUCGUCAGCUCGUGUCGUGAGAUGUUGGGUUAAGUCCCGCAACGAGCGCAACCCUCACUUUUAGUUGCCAUCAUUAAGUUGGGCACUCUGAAAGAACUGCCAGUGAUAAGCUGGAGGAAGGUGGGGAUGACGUCAAGUCCUCAUGGCCCUUACGUGUUGGGCUACACACGUGCUACAAUGGUAUCUACAACAGGAAGCAAGACUGCGAAGUUUAGCAAAUCCCUAAAAGAUACCUCAGUUCGGAUUGCACUCUGCAACUCGAGUGCAUGAAGCUGGAAUUACUAGUAAUCGUGGAUCAGCGUGCCACGGUGAAUGCGUUCCCGGGUCU